rnacentral:rRNA from 1 species
UACGUGGGGUCCGAGCGUUGUCCGGAAUUAUUGGGCGUAAAGGGCUCGUAGGCGGUUUGUCACGUCGGGAGUGAAAACUCAGGGCUCAACCCUGAGCGUGCUUCCGAUACGGGCAGACUAGAGGUAUGCAGGGGAGAACGGAAUUCCUGGUGUAGCGGUGGAAUGCGCAGAUAUCAGGAGGAACACCGGUGGCGAAGGCGGUUCUCUGGGCAUUACCUGACGCUGAGGAGCGAAAGCAUGGGGAGCGAACAGG